rnacentral:lncRNA from 1 species
AUGAAGGGGGAUGGGGAUAAAAUGAUGCUUGCAAGGGUGGAGCGAGUAGUUCAUAAAUUUCAACUAGAUUUGAUGAGGGAAGAGGGUGGAGGUCAGUGGGACACAGUAGGGCUUGAGGAUGUUGUCAUUGUAGGAGAUUGCAGGGAAAUACCUCCAACCUGUCCUGUAGGAUCUGCUGGGGACUCCUCAGAGGAGGUAAUGUUGCCGAUUCCCUGUCCAAAACCUUCUUGUGUCCCUCUAGGAAGCAGUGGGGGAAAACUUCAAAUUUCAUUUGGAGGUUUGAGGGAGGGCCCCUGUAGAAAUUUAGUGUGCCAGAAAGCCCAGCUGAAGUGCCUUUACACUAAUGCACGCAGCAUGGGAAAUAAGCAGGAGGAGUUUGAAACCUUGAUGUGCUUGGAAAAUUAUGAUCUGGUUGCUAUCACGGAAACGUGGUGGGACGAAUCCCACAAUUGGAAUACUCUGAUUGAGGGCUACAGACUCUUCAGAAGGGAUAGAUGGGGUAGGAAAAGAGGGGGAGUUGCCCUGUAUGUUAGGAAGUGGGUAGAUUGUGAAGAGCUGUGUCUGAGUAACAGCCAUGACCAGGUUGAGAGCUUAUGGGCUAAAAUCAAGGAUCUGUCCAGUAAAGGGCAUCUAGUGGUUGGGGUCUGUUACAGGCCACCUGAUCAGGGAGAGCCUGUUGACGAGGCCUUCUUGCUUCACCUGCGGGAGGUAUCGUGCUCACGGGCUCUUGUCCUGAUGGGCAAUUUCAACCACCUGGAUAUCUGCUGGGAUAGCGGCAAGGCGGGUGGCAGACAGUCCAGAAUAUUCCUGGAGUCUGUUGAGGAUAACUUCCUGGUCCAGGUGUUAGACGGACUGACCCGAGGUGAAGCCUUACUGGACCUAGUGCUCACCAAUGCAGAGGAGAGCAUUAGAGGGGUUAAGAUUGGAGGCAGCCUGGGCUGUAGUGAUCAUGCCCUGGUGGAGUUUGUGAUCUGGAGGAAUGCAGACCUGGCAAAAAGCAGAGUCAGGACCCUGUGUUUCAGGAGGGCAAAGUUCCGGCUGCUCAAGGAACUGCUGGGUGGGAUCUCCUGGGAAGCUGUCCUUAAGGGCAUAGGGACAGAACAGAGCUGCAGCUCUUUAAGGACACCCUUCUGCAAACGCAAGAGCUCUCCAUCCCCCAGCAGAAGAAAUAGAGCAGAGGAGGCAGGUGACCGGCAUGGCUGA